AUUGAACGCUGGCGGCAGGCCUAACACAUGCAAGUCGAACGAGUGGCGGACGAGUGAGUAAUGUCUGGGAAACUGCCUGUGGGAGGGGGAUAACUACUGGAAACGUUAGCUAAUACCGCAUUCUAUCAGAUGUGCCCAGAUGGGAUUAGCUAGUUGGUGGGGUAACGGCUCACCAAGGCGACGAUCCCGAGCUGGUCUGAGAGGAUGGCCAGCAACACUGGAACUGAAGCACGGUACAGACUACUACGGGAGGCAGCAGUCGGGUAUAUUGCACAAUAGGCGGAAGCCUGAUGCAGCCAUGCGGCGUGUAUGAAGAAAGCCUUCGGGUUGUAAAGUACUUUCAGCGGGGAGGCGUUACCCGCAGAAGAAGCACCGGCUAACUCCGUGCCAGCAGCCGCGGUAAUUC
rnacentral:rRNA from 1 species